rnacentral:rRNA from 1 species
GGGGGCUAGCGUUGUUCGGAAUUACUGGGCGUAAAGCGCGUGUAGGCGGUUGCCCAAGUCGGGUGGGAAAGCCUUGAGCUCAACUCAAGAAAUGCACUCGGUACUGGGUGACUAGAGGACCGGAGAGGAUAGUGGAAUUCCCAGUGUAGUGGUGAAAUACGUAGAGAUUGGGAAGAACACCAGUGGCGAAGGCGGCUAUCUGGACGGUUUCUGACGCUAAGACGCGAAAGCGUGGGGAGCAAACAGG